AUGGAUACCCUCUUCAAAGCCGCCCUGCUGAGUGUUCUUGACGAUUCCAUUAUGGAUUCAUAUAUGUCGUUUGACAGCGGCAAAGACAUGUGGGCUGCGCUUGAGGCCAUGUUUGAGCCCUCGGGCGCUGGUAACGAGUUGUACGUCAUGGAGCAAUUCUGUGACUACAAGAUGACUGAUGAGCGCUCUGUUGUUCAACAGACUCAUGAGAUACAAUCACUCUCUAAGGAACUUGAGUACUUUAGGUGUGUGUUGCUGGACAAAUUUGUUGCUGGGACCAUCAUUGCCAAGCUUCCACCUUCGUGGAACGAUUUUUCUACUUCCCUGAAAAACAAGAGACAUGAGUUUUCUGUUUUGGAUCUCAUUAGCACUCUUGAUUUUGAGGAAAAGGCGCGAGCAAAAGACACACGUGCUCAGGUCACUGGGGGAGCUUCUAGUGCGCACAUGGUACACGAGAAGAACUUCCAGCCCAACCAGCCCCAAAACAACAAGAGCAAAUCUCAGGAGAAAGGCAAGUUUGAUGCAAAGAACAAGCCGUCACAUUCUACCAACUUCAAGAAGAAUUCUCAUAACGGGAAGGGAUACAAGCUCGCACGAACGGAAACCACAACAAGCAAGCAAUCAAAUCUGGCAUGA
rnacentral:rRNA from 1 species